AUUUUAGUAAACACGAAUCGCACACAUUUCACAGCCUCAAAAAGUCAAGAGUUGUAUUUGGAUCGGUGUUGUUAUUACAGUGAAAUAAGACGUGAUAGUCAAGAAGAAAGCUGUGAAAGGGUUCAACAACAAUAACUAGCUGCAUUAGAAAUUUUGUAUAUUUGUGGCUAACGAGAGGCAUUGUCGUGCCACAAAAAGAGAGGUUCUCCAAACGACGUGUCUCCAACAUUUAAUUAUUUUAUCCACCGGGGUCUCGAGGUAGUGCAGGCUAAAAAAUAUGCUGGAGAUAACGUGCAACGAUCGUCUGGGAAAGAAGGUUAGGGUAAAAUGCAAUCCGGAUGAUACUAUUGGGGACCUUAAAAAAUUGAUUGCUGCACAGACUGGUACUCAUUGGGAGAAAAUUGUGCUGAAGAAGUGGUACACAAUUUACAAGGAUCACAUCAAGCUACAGGACUAUGAAAUACACGAUGGAAUGAAUCUGGAGUUAUACUACCAAUAAAGUCGUAAGAAAAAUAUUCAAAUAGGUAUCCCCAUAAUUUUUUUUAUUUAAUUCUACUUGUAAUCAUCAAUUCAUGGUGAAUUUUAAUCACAUUUCAAUUCUGUACACAUGAAAAUUUUGUAAGACAUAAUAAAACAUAACAAAUAUAUUUUUGAAAUUUUCAUCAAUCUGUACAACUGUUCAUUUUCAGCGUUUCAUAAAAAUUAAAUUUCAAACCGUUAACAAACAAUAAAUUAAUGUGUUUAGCCGCCUUAAAAUAUUUGUAACAUUAAUAAAUUAGUAUUUGGUUGGUCAAUUACCAGGUCAAUCCAAUCACAAAAUAAAAGCAAAUUUUAAAUAAAAACGAAUUUCGAGGCAAAAUGGGAAAGAGGAAUUCAAAUGGGCUGUACUUUGUGGAUUUGCAUAAUUUGUUAACAACUCUGGGAAAGUGUGCUUUGAAACAACUAGCUCGCACAAGAUUUUUCAAUAUUACUAUGGAUAGUUAAGAUCGUUAAGCUUUAUUGAUUUAUAUUUAACGAAAUUUUGUUGAGCUUGCUCAGGAAUCAGGUUGCGAGAGACUAUACCAGAACGUAUUUAUUAUUUUGGUUCGUGAAACUAUUUACAUAAGUCUCUCAAUUAAAUUUUCUGAAUCGAUUAGUUCGUAAACUAUUGGCUCUUCGGAUGUUCCUCUUAAUCGUUUUGCUAUUGAAGUUGAGAUAUAAAUAUAGAACUUGAAAAUAGCGUCUUAAAGCAUUUCAUCUAUAAUAUCAAUCAUGAGUACAAUAAUUCACGCAUUAAAAAAAGUUAAUAGAAGAAUACCGAGGGUUUUCUCUGAAAAUUUCUAUUCAAUUCAAAGGAAAAAUUCCAUUCGCAUUUGUACCAGUUCCAUUACAAAAUUCCAUUAAAUUUUUAAUGCGCGUCCUUUUGUCGUCGAGUAAAAUUCUUGAACUAAAGAAAUUAGCGGUCGUCUCACUAUUAAUGUGGCCUCUUGAAAUGGCUCUCUCCUCGACUAACAGGACUCUCAGGCUCUACAGUGACUCGACCCCGAUUUCCCAAGAAGUCCCUUAUGUGCUGAACUAUCAAAUCUAUCGCCACUGAAACAUAAUCGAUAAGCAUCAAUGACAACAUACUACAGAUCUAUUAGUGUCGCAAAAAAUAUGAAUUUGUUUCGAGUGAAUCGACCUUCGAAGAUAUCAGGAUUUGAAAUGAUUUAACUACGUGGAUCUCUAUAGAUCUGAAUUUAAUGUUAAAAUUGAAUAGUUAGAGAACAAUUCAGAAGACUUAAAAAACUUAAUAUUUACUUUCGGAGGAAUAUUGCUGAUGUAAUUAAAAAAUAAUUGGAAAAGCGUAAUUGUCCGUUCAGAAUGAACCGGAGAAAAAUUUCUAGGGUCGUGUUCAAAAGAGAAUUUCAUUCAUAAAGAAAUUAUUGCAACGGCUUAUUCAAUUCUGCUUUCAUCUUUAUUAUCGGUUAUGCUCUUCCCUCCCUGAAUACAAAGGCAGUUCCAUAGUUAUUUACGUUACAUUAAUGAACAUCAACUUAAUCGACUGUCUAAUUGAUACUUAUGAACAAACGAUGGAAUCAUUUAUAUGAAAAACCAAUGUGACAUCCUCCACAUAUUCUCGGCAGCACAUAAAACAAUUUGAAAAUAGGAAAAUGUGAGGAAGAACCGACAAAAAUGGACCUUUUUCAACCCUCAAAGUGUGCAACAACAACUUAAUUUACUUUCCAUAUUUAUAUCAUGCUGAGAUUCUGAAGAUUUCAAAAGAUCCUUUUCAUUCUGCUCCCCACAGUGGAAUAAAAUUGGGCUUUUCGAAAACAAGUUACUAAAAAUUUGCACAAUUCAUUAAAAAAAUUUUCAGUGUCAAUAAAAAUAUAUCAAAUAUAUCAAAAGAUUCGCGGAAUAUUACCACUCUAAUAUAUUCAAUCAAUCAAAAGACAAAAGUGUGAAAAAUCGAGAUUGUUUCAAUGCACUGAUGCACUUAUGUCGAUUAUUAUCAAUGACUUGUGAUAUACAUGCCGUCAACUCUUAAUCAUUAUAAAUGUUUUUUAAAAUCUAGAUUAAUCAUCUGCUGACGGUGUCUGAAGGUGUUGAUGUGCGCCGUAACUGGAUGCAUGGAUGCUGCCCAGCGCCGUUAUCAGCCUUUUUCAAAUGUAAAAUGUCCCAGAUGUGGUGCACUAUUAGGUCUAUCGCCACUGUAAACAUACAAUACCAAUUUUCGUAUGUUUUCUCCCUUCGUUUUUUAUUUUUUACCCUUUUCAACGUAUUCAGGGUACACUAUCCGAUAACCACAGGGCAGCACCCAUACUGACAAUAGAUGUAACCACUUUUAUAUGAUGAGAUUGAAUUUUGAGAAAAAUAAGCCUUACCACUAUUGUGUUUCAAUUAUGAAAUAAAAAUUCUAGUGGAGAACGGAAUCGAUAAUUUUACUGCUUUGAAAAGUGAAUUUUGGUUAAUGUGUGUCUGUGCUUGCAUUAGGGAUGAGAAAAUCAUUAGAAAACUCAAAAUAUUCGUCAGAAUAUUUCGAACAAUCAGAAUAAUCCCGAGAGGUGUAAUCAUAAAGAUUAAUAAUCUAUUGAAGAAAAUAUAAUUGAAUUUGGUAGGGAAUUCCCAUAAGAAUUCAAUAAAAUUUUGUAGCAAAUGCAUCACGUUUAUCAAUGAUUUUUUUUCGCAAAUGAAUAUAUUUCGUGAUUGAGCAUUGAAUGAUUUGUAAGAAUGUUUAAAUACUCAUAUGAAUUUACCUGUGUUGUCUGCACCCCUUGGGAUGAUUACGUCGGCGAAUUUUUUAGUUGGCAAGCAAAAUUCCUCAAAUGCUGGUUUGACGAAAUUCAUGUACUGAUUCAACACGUAAUCCAGAUCUCUCCCUCGUUCUUUGAUAUCUCUUGGCACUAACAAUUUAUAAAUAGAAAUUAUUGACCAAACACGAAAUUUUUGAUUUUAUAAAUUUACGAUCAAUUUCCUUUUCACAUUUCCAACAACUGUAAAAAUUACAAAAUUAAUUGGAAUUCGGAAAUUUGAUAAUAAUCCUUUCUGCUGCACAUAGACUAUCUUAUUUCAUCUCUGUAAUGAAUAAAAAACGAAUAAAUUACCUCUUCUAGCAAGUCGUGUAUCAGAGUCCGUGUCAACGAAUAAUUUCAUGUGAAACAAAUCCCUAAUCUUAGGGAAAUAGAAGACUAGAAUUCCCUCGAAGAGUACAACGUCAGCAGGAUAAAUCGUCGUAAUUUGGUCUUUAAUUCUGAAACAAAGCACAAACAAAUACAAAAAAAUUGUUGUAACAUUUUAUUUAAUGUUUACUGUUUGAAGGCACGUUUAGAUCGGGAAGAAGGAAAUUCAAUUGCAAAAUGUUUUAAGAUAAAACCGAAAAAUCGUCCGGAACAAAAUAUCGUAAACAGGAACGAGAAUCUCAACUAUGUGGCAACACCUCGUGUGUACAGUGCGAGUGCGUAUAAAAGUGGAUACGUCUCAUUAAACUGGUAAGUCAUAUACCAUCCUACGGUGAAGUGUUUUGAAUUGGUGUUUGGCUGUUCUGAUAAGGAAUUUCAAUCAGUCGAGCAUAAGAAAUCAAUCUCCAAGAAGAGAGUCGAGUCAACCGAGUUAUUAAUCAAGAACAAUGGCACGAAAAUGUGUCUUGUUGAUUUCCCUCAUCGUUCUGUUCUGCCUAUCGUGGUUCCAACCAGUAGAGGGCUGUUGCUUUCCUAGGAUAAGAUCGAGCUGUACUGCAGGAGGUUGCUGUGAUUUGCUUUGUGGUGAUCGGGAGACGAGAUGUAUAUGCACCAAAGAUAAAUCCCCCGAAUGUACCUGUGGUGGACGCUCCUAUCUAGACGCCAGUCUACGCCUUCCAUCCAUUGGAUCAGUGUACAUUCCUCAACUCUAUCCACAAAUUCAGUUACCAAGCUGUAGGCCAGGUGAUCUGCAAGCCUAUCAGCAAGCUUAUUAUCCACUUUCUUCUAGUGGUUAUCCAUACUGCUCUACACAAUUGUCUUCAGCACAGUGUACCUAUCCAGGGCUCGUGCCAAAAGCCUGUCCGCCGUGUAAACCCUGUCCAACCAUUGAGCUCGAGGAAGAGGAGCCAGCACCAGUGCGGGUAUCCAGGAGACGUUACUAUUCUCAACCUAUCAGCUACAGUUAUAGGAGACACAGGCCUAGAAGUCGCCUGGAUCGCGUCAGUGCAUACGACGAAUACGACGACACACCAAUGAACUUGAAAUGUUAUCUAGAGUGAAGCUAGCCCUUAAACUCUUCAGAACUUAAUAAUAAAAUUGUAAAUUAGUGUAUGCCAUGAAAAAGAGUAAUAAUGAGCCAUAGAAAGAAUGUACACUCACAAGCUGUUGGUUCUGUAAUCAUAUGCUGGUAUUUCACACUUGAUCCCAGCGAGGAUGUCCUGGAGUGUUUGGAGAAUCAGGUCAUUGUCAAAUGCAUCAGGAUGGUCAAAAUUGUAUUGGCCCUUCUCGGCUCGCAGUUUCUCAGCUGGUGUCAGAUCUCUGUAAAAACUGUCUUGAGAUAUGCACACCACCUGACGCUCCUGGUGAUCCAUGUCUACUUGACCCAAUUUUUCCAUAAUCCUCUUGCAAACGGUUGACUGGAAAUAUUCAUCAAGUGUCAGAUUACACAGGUAAACAACAAGAAAUGUUAUUGACUAGCGUUAAUGCCCAGUGUUGAUGCCCUCUUUCUGUUACAUUCGACAGUCCUUUUUUCAAUUAAUUAUUUAUCAUUUAGCUCAAUACAGAAAGCAAGAUAAACUACGAGAAUCAAUGUUCCAAUUUAUCAGCUAUUAAAUUUUUACAUCACAAUAAAUCAUUUACUCGUA